AGGUACUGAGCUAAGGGCAACGAUACAAAGUUAAGUGAGAUUGCCUAUAAGGGAGCAUGCUGCCAGUGGGGAAGACAGGUUACCUUAGAAGAAGAAAAGCUUUGGACACAUGAGGCGACAGCAGACAAACAUAUACAUGCAGAAAUGACCACAAACGAUACCGUGAAAAGGCCAUUUGCAAGUCAGGGCAAAAAGUCUCAGAAGGAGCCAGAUCACUAGACCCAAAUCAUUUGAUUUUGGACUUCCAGCCUCCAUAACUGUGAGAAAGUAAAUAUAUGUUUAAGCAUCCA